CACACACACACACACACACACACAUCUCUCCAUUCUGGUUGUUUUCUAACGUUCGAUCCAACUUGGUAUUUUAUUAGCAGCUGAUACUCCUGGGGUCCACAUGAAGCAGGACAGAACAUUCCUUUGACAAGAACGGCUCAAAGACAAAACUACUAACAUUUUAAAAUAAGGACAAUAUAACUAGGAGGUUCUGUACUGACUAAAUACUGAGAAAAAACCCAUAGAGACCUAAUAUUCUAGGACUGUGUUUAUCGUGUACUAAUUAAUAUUCUAGUACUAUGUUUAUCGUGUACUAAUUAAUAUUCUAGGACUACGUUUAUCGUGUACUAAUUAAUAUUCUAGUACUAUGUUUAUCGUGUACUAAUUAAUAUUCUAGGACUACGUUUAUCGUGUACUAAUUAAUAUUCUAGUACUAUGUUUAUUGUGUACUAAUUAAUAUUCUAGUACUAUGUUUAUUGUGUACUAAUUAAUAUUCUAGGACUACGUUUAUUGUGUACUAAUUAAUAUUCUAGUACUAUGUUUAUUGUGUACUAAUUAAUAUUCUAGGACUACGUUUAUUGUGUACUAAUUCAUAUUCUAGUACUAUGUUUAUUGUGUACUAAUUAAUAGUCUGAGAAGUAGCUGGUGAAACAAGCGAGGCAGUCAUUUGAGAAACCAAGGCUGUUAAGUCUGCCGAUAAGAAUGACAGACAUACCGCUCAGGAAGGAGAUGCGUCCAGAUUGUCUAGCCCGGCUGAUUUGUAGGGGUCCAGGUUGUCUAGUCCAGCUGAUUUGUAGGGGUCCAGGUUGUCUAGUCCAGCUGAUUUGUAGGGGUCCAGGUUGUCUAGUCCAGCUGAUUUGUAGGGGUCCAGGUUGUCUAGUCCAGCUGAUUUGUAGGGGUCCAGGUUGUCUAGUCCAGCUGAUUUGUAGGGGUCCAGGUUGUCUAGUCCAGCUGAGUUGUAGGGGUCCAGGUUGUCUAGUCCAGCUGAUUUGUAGGGGUCCAGGUUGUCUAGUCCAGCUGAUUUGUAGGGGUCCAGGUUGUCUAGUCCAGCUGAUUUGUAGGGGUCCAGGUUGUCUAGUCCAGCUGAUUUGUAGGGGUCCAGGUUGUCUAGUCCAGCUGAUUUGUAGGGGUCCAGGUUGUCUAGUCCAGCUGAUUUGUAGGGGUCCAGGUUGUCUAGUCCAGCUGAUUUGUAGGGGUCCAGGUUGUCUACCUCGGCUGAUUUGUAGGGGUCCAGAUUGUCUAGUCCAGCUGAUUUGUAGGGGUCCAGGUUGUCUAGUCCAGCUGAUUUGUAGGGGUCCAGGUUGUCUAGUCCAGCUGAUUUGUAGGGGUCCAGAUUUCGCGGCUCUUUCAGAACAUCAGCUGUCUGGAUUUGGGAGAAGGAGAAAUGGGGGAGGCUUGGCAAGUUGCUGUGGGGGGCGCAGGGCUGUUGACCGGGGUAGGGGUAGGGGUAGCCAGGUGGAAAGCAUGGCUAGCCGUAGAAAAAUUCUUAUUGAAAUUCUCAAUUAUAGUGCAUUUAUCGGUGGUGACAGUGUUUCCUAUCCUCAGAGCAGUGGGCAGCUGGGAGGAGGUGCUCUUAUUCUCCAUGGACUUUACAGUGUCGGCCAGGAAUGGCAAAUAGUUUCUACCCCCAGACAAUCAGGCUGCUGAAUAGACACCACUAGUCAGCUGUUUGUACCAUCAGACCAUCAGGCUGCUGAAUAGACACCACUAGUCAGCUGUUUCUACCAUCAGACCAUCAGGCUGCUGAAUAGACACCACUAGUCAGCUGUUUCUACCAUCAGGCUGCUGAAUAGACACCACUAGUCAGCUGUUUCUACCAUCAGGCUGCUGAAUAGACACCACUAGUCAGCUGUUUCUACCAUCAGGCUGCUGAAUAGACACCACUAGUCAGCUGUUUCUACCAUCAGGCUGCUGAAUAGACACCACUAGUCAGCUGUUUCUACCAUCAGACCAUCAGGCUGCUGAAUGGACACCACUAGUCAGCUGUUUCUACCCCCAGACCAUCAGGCUGCUGAAUAGACACCACUAGUCAGCUGUUUCUACCAUCAGGCUGCUGAAUAGACACCACUAGUCAGCUGUUUCUACCAUCAGACCAUCAGGCUGCUGAAUGGACACCACUAGUCAGCUGUUUCUAUCCCCAGAGCAUCAGGCUGCUUAAUAGACACCAUUUUCUCUAGUGAAAUCAAAUCGUCUUGCAUGCUGGAGUUCAGAGCCUCUGAUUUCCACUGUGCCCUGCAGUCACACCUUCAAGCCUGUGUGACUAUUUAACGCAGAUGUGUCGAUGCAGCGUGAAAUUGUCAUGCUGACUGGAGGAAUGUCCACCAGAGAAUAUAAUUUACAUUUCUCUACCAUAAGCUGCCGCCAACGUAAUUUUUGAGAAUUUCGUAGUUCGUCCAACCGGCCUCACAACCCCAGACUACGUGAAACCACACCAGCCCAGAACCUCCUCCUCCGGCUUCUUCACCUGUGGUGUCGUCUGAGACCAGCCACCUGGACAGCUGAUGAAACUGUGGAUUUAAACAAACUGUCAGAUACCGUCUCAGGGAAGCUCGUCUGCGUGCUCCUCAUCCUCACCAGAGUUUUGACCUGACUGAAGUUCGGCGUCGUAACCGUCUUCAGUGGACAAAUACUCACCUUCGAUUGCCACUGGCACGCUGGAGAAGUGUCCUCUUCACGGAUAAAUCCUGAUUUCAACAGUUUGGCAGACGAGCGUGUGUGGUGUUGUGUGGGCGAGCGUUUUGCUGAUGUCAACUUUGUGAACAGAGUGCCCCAUGGUGGAGGUAGGGUUAUGGUAUGGGGCCCAUGGUGGAGGUAGGGUUAUGGUAUGGGCCCCAUGGUGGAGGUAGGGUUAUGGUAUGGGCCCCAUGGUGGAGGUAGGGUUAUGGUAUGGGCAGGCAUAAGCUACAGACACUGAAAACAAUUGAAUUUUAUUGAUGGCAAUUUGAAUGCACAGAGAUACAGGGACGAGAUCCUGAGGCCCAUUGUCGUGCCAUUCAUCCACCACCAUCACCUCAUGUUUCAGCAUGAUAACGCAGAGAUCCCAUGUCGCAAGGAUCUGCACACAAUUCCUGGAAGCUGAAAAGGUCCCAGUUCUUCCAUGGCCUGCAUACUCACCAAACAUGUCACACAUUGAGCAUGUUUGGGAUGCUCUGGAUCGAGGUGUAUGACAGCAUGUUCCAGUUCAAUAUCCAGCAACUUCACACAGCCAUUGAAG
rnacentral:lncRNA from 1 species